GCCUAAAGCAUUGAACAAUGAGGAGAAAACAAAAUAUUGAAUAGUUGCUUAUUAAUUGAACACUGUCCAGUCUGUGUACUGAAUCAGGAAGGGAACAAACUGUAUAUGAUCGCAUAAUUAAAGUCUCUGUGCUAAAGCAUAUCCACCAGGAGGUUGAAAUAGGGUUUCCCCAGCAACCUUAAUUCUGGCUUUUCCUAACUUUUGAAUGUUUGAUUUUGCAAACUGAACAUUUCUUUAAUGGAGUUUUUUUAAUGUAAUCUGAUAUAGAGCAGGUAACUUGGAAUGAAGGAACAAUGGGAGAAUCAAUGAAAUUGAAAUGUCACACAUUUUGAACUGAGAAACUAUUUUACAGGAUGGAUAACUUGUGGAACUCAUUGCAACAAGACAUUGUUGAGGCCAAGAGGUCAGUAGGAUUUAGAAAAGGCUAUGUUUUUUAUAUGGAUAAUAAGAACAUCCACAGUACUUUUUAAAAAAGAAAAAAGUACAUGGUAUAUGAGCUCUUAUGCUUCAUGGUAUAAGAUAAUCAGUAGCUGACAGAGAUCAGUAAGAAACUUUCCCUGUGUGCAAGAUAUUCAUUGAUUGUACACUAUAGGAUUUCCUGCAACUUCCCCUGAAGCAUCAGGUACUGGUCACUGUCAGAGACAGAAUACUGAAUAGAAGGAUGCUGGUGUGAUCUGUGUGGGACUUCCUAUAUGCCUUAAAAGCUUCAGCUGCCAAAAUAUUGUUUUUCCCUUUAAAGGGGUAUCUUUUUAUCUCUCAUGUUACUUCAAGCUGAUGCUUAAACUGCUCAGUUAAACUACAGCACAUCCUUGGUAUUGUUGCCUCACUGACUGAUAAUUUGCCAUCUUUAUCCAUGUGAAAAGGUAAAAAUAGUAACACCCAAUGGAAGCUCCUGCACACAGCCCCAACCUGGAAGGAUGGUGGAAUAAUUGUGCUCACUGUCUCCUGGGUUUCCUACUGAGACUGUCACUUAAUAUCAGUUGUGAUGUGGAUACCUGUCCACUAGGAAUUGGACAGAGACCGUCUAAUUUCAGACAGGCCAUUUUCAUCAUUCAGAAGAUGGGAAGGACUUUCAGUCGCCACUCACUGCCAAGCAGGGCUGGAUUCAGACCCCACAGAAAAGCCUUAGUACUUUAUUACCAAGCAUCCAGGUGCAACAGGUUCAGUGGAAACAAUUGUCUUCUGCCUGCCUACUCCUCCUUAUGCAAGGGCAGUUCUCACUCUUCAUUUGCCGACUCCUGCUAUGUACUAAACCAAAGCCCAAGGAGGUUCCCUGGCAGGCCUCUUUGAGCAGGACAUUGCAACCCAGCAGCCCCCUGCUCUCCGGGUUUUGUCUGCAGAUGGGCAGGAUGUAAGGCGAGCCUUGACU